CGCUUGCAUAAAUGCCACUUGAACUUUGGCCGAGGUGUCGGCGUUCAUGGGAAAUAGCAACGGGAACUACCGACUGCCUUGACAUUGAAACGGGGCGGGCGGUGGAGUGAAGAGAGUGUGUGAGAACGCGACAUUCGGACCGCCGCGAGUGCGCACUAUGCAAAAUGUGAAUUAAAUUGCAACAUUUGAUUCACUUAUUUCCAGGCAGGCGGCGUUACGUGAGUGUCUGCCAUACCCCCGACUGCUUCGCUCCCUCGAGCGGCGAUUCUCUGGCGAAUAAUGGGUCGCAGUCGCAGAACACACAUGAAAACGAGAAGAAUUGCUCAAACGAGAUUGAAAUAAAGCAAACAACAGUCGUGCACAGAGCGAAAUAACACUUGUUCGGCGGCUUAUUUAAGAGAUUGGCUUUGGAACAAACCAAACCUGUUAUUUUACAAAAUAUAUAAACAAAACUUUA